AGAGUUUGAUCCUGGCUCAGGAUGAACUCUGGCGGCGUGCCUAACACAUGCAAGUCGAACGGGAACCCUUGGAUUCGUCUGAGGGGGAGAGUGGCGAACGGGUGAGUAACACGUGGGUGACCUGCCUCAAAGACAGGGAUAACUGCUGGAAACGGCAGCUAAUACCUGAUAGUCUCGCUGAUUCGGUUCAGUGAGUAAAGGCUGAGGCGCUUUGAGAGGGACCUGCGGCCCAUCAGCUAGUUGGUAGGGUAAAGGCCUACCAAGGCGAAGACGGGUAGGGGACGUGAGAGCGUGACCCCCCACACUGGGACUGAGACACGGCCCAGACUCCUACGGGAGGCAGCAGUGAGGAAUAUUGCGCAAUGAGCGAAAGCUAGACGCAGCAACGCCGCGUGGGUGAAGAAGGCCUUCGGGUCGUAAAACCCUUUUCUGAGGGAAGAGCAAGGACGGUACCUCAGGAAUAAGUCUCGGCUAACUAUGUGCCAGCAGCCGCGGUAAGACAUAGGAGGCGAGCGUUAUCCGGAUUUAUUGGGCGUAAAGUGCGUUGAGGCGGUCUCGUAAGUUGGACGUGAAAGCUCCUGGCUUAACUGGGAGAGGUCGUUCAAUACUGCGAGGCUUGAGGGCAGUAGUGCGAAGGCGGCCCCCUGGACUGUUUCUGACGCUGAAGGCGAAAGCUAGGGUAGCAAACGGGAUUAGAAACCCCGGUAGUCCUAGCCGUAAACGAUGGAUACUAGGUGUGGGAGGUUAAAAAUCCUUCUGUGCCGGAGCAAACGCGUUAAGUAUCCCGCCUGGGGAGUACGGCCGCAAGGCUAAAACUCAAAGGAAUUGACGGGUCUCCGCACAAGCGGCGGAGCGUGUGGUUCAAUUCGAUAUAACGCGAAGAACCUUACCAGGGCUUGACAUGCAGGUAGUAGUGAAGCGAAAGCGGAACGAUCCUUAGGGAAGCCUGCACAGGUGCUGCAUGGCUGUCGUCAGCUCGUGCCGUGAGGUGUUCCCUUAAGUGGGGUAACGAGCGCAACCCUUACUGUUAGUUACAAGUGUCUAGCGGAACUGCCCGGUCAAACUGGGAGGAAGGUGGGGAUGACGUCAAGUCAGCAUGGCCUUUAUGUCCUGGGCUACACACACGCUACAAUGGCCGGUACAAUGGGUAGCCAAACCGCGAGGUGGAGCCAAUCCUACAAAGCCGGUCUCAGUUCGAAUUGCAGGCUGCAACUCGCCUGCAUGAAGUUGGAGUUGCUAGUAACCGCAGGUCAGCACACUGCGGUGAAUACGUUCCCGGAGAUUGUACACACCGCCCGUCACGUCAUGGGAGCUGGUAACACCUGAAGCCAGUGGGCUAACCGAAAGGGGGCAGCUGUCGAAGGUGGGACUGGUGACUGGGACGAAGUCGUAACAAGGUA
rnacentral:rRNA from 1 species